CACCACUGCCGCCGCGCUGGUUCCUGUCCGCAAGCGACAGGCGAAGAGGGAAUGCCCCAGAGGCAGCCGCCCCCGCGACCGUGACCGGAGAGGUUGUCCAUGCCACUGGCCGAAAGGCCGGGAAGGCGGACCGCCGCGGGACCGCAAGGCCCCACAUCCGCAAGCCGGGAGACCUGCCAGCGCUGAGACUUACGG
rnacentral:ncRNA from 2 species